CGACAGUGAUGAGCUCUUUAUCCCAAAGCUGAUCUAUUGAUGAGACAGUUUUACGGAUCUGACUCCUGAGUU